rnacentral:lncRNA from 1 species
GGGACAGCGAUGUCCUCAGCUGUCCACAUGAGGUUCAGAGCCCAGCUCACAGUGAUGUCCACAGUGAUGUUUCCAGUGAUGUCUGCGUUUCAUCCCCAGUGAUGUCUACAGUGACAUCCACAGGGAUGCCAGCUUGUCCAUAGUAAUAGUGUAGGAAGUCUCACGGUGUACUGGGCACACAGGGUGACCCAGACUUGGGAGCAGUGAGUCUUACUGAGGCUUUCUUGCCUCUGUUCCCAGGGACAGUGGUGGCACUCUGGAUAAGAAGAAAAAGCAUGGACACAGAACAUGUCUGGGGGCAUGAGGAUCUUGGCAGUGGGCAGCAUUCAAUUCACCGGACCCAGUGGGAUAAACUUAGAACACAUCGGCACUCAGUGGUCGACGGUCACUGUUUCUGAUCAUCAGUUUCCUACUGUGGACUCAGCUCCAGCAGGACUAGGUGAAGACAGACAUUGGCAGGGAAACUCUGCUGUGCAGGUCAUAGUUGUGCGGGAGGAUCCCCAUCCUGAAGGUAUUCCACUAAGACCCAGCUCUGGGACUGGAGCCCAGUGUCGUGACUGUACAGCCGUCCCGUGAGGAGAGGACCGGGCCGAGCUCGCCUUUCUCCAUAACCGUGAGCCAGGACGGCAGUGCAGAGGAGUCUCUCCAAGUGGCUUCAUAUGCUGUGAACAGCUUGUUUCUUCUAAGCAGCUGGUCUGCAGAGACAAGAGGAACCUGGUGACGGAGUUGGGGAGGGACCACAGAGAGACGGGAGAAUUAUCUUUUUGGAGGCACUUCAGAUUCUUUUGGCGCGUGGGAUCCACUUUGAGCAGCAAGGAUCCAAGGGUUUUAUCUUCCACCCGGUCCCCAGGCUGUGUAGACAGUGGCAGCCCCAACAUGUUAAUGCUGGUGAUCCCCUGGAAGUGGGGUUAUGAUGGACACGUUUAUUUUGUUCAAUUUCCAUUUUUCAAGUAUUGGGAAAACAGUGACAAAUACUUUUAUCUUGUUCACUUUGGUGCUUCAAAACCUGAAAUAAGUGCAUCUGUGAAAGGUGAAUAUUGGUCAGACUUGUACCUGGGAAUUGUUUCUCUGUGAUUCAGCCGGGAGAUCCAUACUCUGACUGCCUCAUUCCCCAAGAGAACACGUGCUGGGGAUCGCUUAAGCUCAGAGAAGCCCAGUGGGCCGUUUCUAUCGCAGUAACACUUCGCAGAUUUCAGUGCAUGCGGACUGCCUGGGGACACCGUUAUGCACGGUCCUCAUGCAGUGGGUCUGGACCAGGCCUGAGAUCCUACAGGCUCCCAGGCAGUGACUGACGCUUGUCCUGCACUAUGCUGGACAGAGCGAGGCGGUCUGAGUUUCCAAUGCACCCAGGGAAGUGUCCGCCCUGUGCUGUUGGUGCCCCUUCCUUGGGAUGCCCACCCCAGGCAUCUUCUACUGGGCAGCUUUCUGUACCUGCCUGACCAAACCACUUGCUACCUCUGCACCAACACCAGGGAGCCUGAGAAGAGGCUCUCUGACCCCCCAAACCCGCCCACAGCCAGCUCUGAUGAGGACAUGAAGACAACCUAUCUUGCUCUGUCUUCCUUUUUUUAAUUGAGAAAUUCAUAACACAAUACACAUAACAUAAUAUUAGCUGACUUAAAGUAUGCACAACUGUGGCACUUAGUACAUUCACAGUCUUACGCAAGCAUCACCAUUAUUUAUGUUUUCCUCUCCCCGCAUGAACCCCUACAUCUGCUUAACAACCACACUCCAUUCUCCCCUGCCCCCAGGUCCUGGCAACUUCCACUCUGAUUUCUGUCUCUGUGGGUUUACCUACUGAGGUAUUUGAUUUGAGUGGAAUCUGGCUUCCUUCACUGAGCAUAAUCUCUCCCAUACGGGGUAGCACCUAUGGAUACUGGAUUCUCUUAGUGGCUACCUAGUUGUCAAUUGCACAGCAGCACCUCAUUAUGUUUAUCCAUUCUCAGUGGGGGGACUCGAGUUCCUACCUUUUGGUUUUCCUAAAUCAUACUGCUGUGAAUGCUCAGAUACAAGUACUUGUUUGAAUAUCUGUUUUGGGUGUACACCCAGAAGUGGAAUUACUGCCAUAUGGCCAUCCUAUGUUUAACUUUUUGGGCUCUGCCAAGCUGGUUUCCACAGCAGCUGAGCCAUUCCACAUUCCCCCCAGAAGGUGCACGUGCUGCCGUUUCCCCCGUCUUGGCACACAUUUGUUAUUUCCUGGUUUAAAAAUUAUUAGCCAUCCUGGUGUGAUGUUAUAUUCCACCGUGGUUUUGAUAUGUAUUUCCCAGUACUAGUGAUGAGAAUAUUUUCAUGUGCUUGUGCGUCUUGUGUAUAUCUUCUUGGGAGAAAUGUCUGCUCAAGUACUUUGUCCAUUCUUUGACUGAGUUUUCCCCCCUUGGGCUGUGCCUGUCCUUUAUACACUGUGGAUCCUGGAUGCUUAUCAAACGUGGGGUUUGUAAUCCUGUUUCCUAUCCCGGUAGGAGGCCUUUUUCAUUUCUCUGUAGUGUCUAGAGGUUCAUAAAUUUUAAAAAUUUUAAUAAAGUCUAAAUUGUAAUCUUCUGUUUUGUUGCUUAUUGCUAAGAAUUCCCAUUGCUGAAUACGAGGUCACGAAGGCCCACCUUGGUGUUUUCUUUUAAGAGUUUUACUGACUUGGCUCUUGUCUUUAGGCCUUUGACCUUGUUUGAGUUGUAUGUGGGGAGAGUGAAG